rnacentral:rRNA from 1 species
GAUGAACGCUGGCGGCGUGCCUAAUACAUGCAAGUCGAGCGGUAAGGCCCCUUCGGGGGUACACGAGCGGCGGACGGCUGAGUAACACGUAGGAACGUACCCCAAACUGAGGGAUAAGCACCAGAAAUGGUGUCUAAUACCGCAUGUGGUCUUCGGAUUAAAGCUUCGGCGGUUUGGGAACGGCCUGCGCAUGAUUAGCUUGUUGGUGAGGUAAUGGCUUACCAAGGCGAUGAUCAUUAGCUGGUCUGAGAGGAUGAUCAGCCAGACUGGGACUGAGAACGGCCCAGACUCCUACGGGAGGCAGCAGUAGGGAAUUUUCCACAAUGGGCGAAAGCCUGAUGGAGCAACGCCGCGUGCAGGAUGAAGGCCUUCGGGUUGUAAACUGCUUUGUACGGACGAAAAGGUCUUUCUAAUAAAGAAGGCUCAUGACGGUACCGUAAGAAUAAGCACCGGCUAACUACGUG